rnacentral:pre_miRNA from 1 species
CGGGGCAGCGCAGGAUCUUGGGCUGUGUCCCUGGCGCCCUGGGAUCCAGGGCCUGUGCCGCUGGACUCACGCUCCUGGGGCCGCGCAGUCCCG